rnacentral:rRNA from 1 species
GAUGAACGCUGGCGGCGUGCCUAAUACAUGCAAGUCGAGCGAACAGACGAGGAGCUUGCUCCUCUGACGUUAGCGGCGGACGGGUGAGUAACACGUGGAUAACCUACCUAUAAGACUGGGAUAACUUCGGGAAACCGGAGCUAAUACCGGAUAAUAUAUUGAACCGCAUGGUUCAAUAGUGAAAGACGGUUUUGCCGUCACUUAUAGAUGGAUCCGCGCCGCAUUAGCUAGUUGGUAAGGUAACGGCUUACCAAGGCAACGAUGCGUAGCCGACCUGAGAGGGGGAUCGGCCACACUGGAACUGAGACACGGUCCAGACUCCUACGGGAGGCAGCAGUAGGGAAUCUUCCGCAAUGGGCGAAAGCCUGACGGAGCAACGCCGCGUGAGUGAUGAAGGUCUUCGGAUCGUAAAACUCUGUUAUUAGGGAAGAACAAAUGUGUAAGUAACUAUGCACGUCUGGACGGUACCUAAGCAGAAAGCCACGGCUAACUACGU